rnacentral:rRNA from 1 species
UGGCGGCGUGCCUAAACAUGCAAGUCGAACGGGAAAACAGGGGCAACUCUGUGAGUACAGUGGCGUACGGGUGAGUAACACGUGACUACCUACCCUCGAGUGGGGGAUAACCCCGGGAAACCGGGGCUAAUACCGCAUAACAUCGCAAGAUCAAAGGAGCAAUUCGCUUGAGGAGGGGGUCGCGGCUGAUUAGCUAGUUGGUGAGGUAACGGCCCACCAAGGCGAUGAUCGGUAGCCGGCCUGAGAGGGCGCACGGCCACACUGGAACUGAAACACGGUCCAGACUCCUACGGGAGGCAGCAGUGGGGAAUUUUGCGCAAUGGGGGAAACCCUGACGCAGCAACGCCGCGUGGAGGAUGAAGUCCCUUGGGACGUAAACUCCUUUCGACCCGGACGAUAAUGACGGUACGGGUGGAAGAAGCACCGGCUAACUUCGUGCCAGCAGCCGCGGUAAUACGAGGGGUGCGAGCGUUGUUCGGAAUUAUUGGGCGUAAAGGGCGCGUANGCGGUGCGGUAAGUCACCUGUGAAAUCUC